rnacentral:rRNA from 1 species
UUUGACGCAAGGUUGCGCCUGAAGCCAUUAGGUUGAAGGCACGUCUGCCUGGGCGUCACGC